rnacentral:rRNA from 1 species
UACAGAGGGUGCGAGCGUUGUUCGGAAUCACUGGGCGUAAAGCGCACGUAGGCGGAUUGUUAAGUCAGGGGUGAAAGCCUGGAGCUCAACUCCAGAAUUGCCUUUAAGACUGCAUCGCUUGAAUCCAGGAGAGGUGAGUGGAAUUCCGAGUGUAGAGGUGAAAUUCGUAGAUAUUCGGAAGAACACCAGUGGCGAAGGCGGCUCACUGGACUGGUAUUGACGCUGAGGUGCGAAAGCGUGGGGAGCAAACAGG